ACUGCCUAACACUAACAAUAAAUAAUGUUGGCUCCGCGUGUUUUCUCCCUUUGCCAUUUUACGUUACCAAAUUCCCUGUUUCUGUCAAUUUCUUCUAUUGCCCUGCGUCAGUCAUUCACAAUCUACAUACAAAAUUGAUGGUUUGGUGACUUGGGUAGAUUAUUUUCUUCGUUGUUAUCACUCUUCUGUGUUUCACCCUGGUUACUCUUGCUAUUCAAGUUUUUGUUUUUCAAAAAGAAAGAAAUAAUUUUGAAAUUUAUGGUUUAAAUAAUAGAGAAACAAGGUGCAUGUGACACCCCAACGUAGGAAGAGUCCCACAUCGGCAAAACAUAGGAGGGAUGCUGGGUAUAUAAGUGAUAAAGCCUUACUGCCUAGUGAUGCGUUUUUAAGCCGUGCGGGCCUGGGCACAGAGCGGACAAUAUCACUAGUGGAUUGGAGAGUGACAGGGGUAGCUCGCGGGGCCUGUGUGGUUCGGGAUGGGGCCUUGGGCCAGGUCGUGACAGUGCAUCAAGUAGGAUAAAGGGAGUUCGAAAAGUAGAAAGAAGAUGCGGAGCUUUUGGUUUCUUCAUCGGUGCAACGAUUUCGAUAUUCGUUCUUUCUCUGAUCUCUCGUAUGGCUUAUAUUUUAGUUGAAGAAGAAUGAUUUUAGAGCCAAUAAGAUCCUUUCAAAUCUGAAGGACCCUUUGAGACUUUCCCACGCCAAGUAACGUAGAUCAUCCUCGAUAUCUCUCCUUAUUGUGGGGUUCUUGAAGAAUGUUCCUCUGAUGGCUAAUACCACUUUUGGUACACCAAUUGGUCUUAUGGGUAUAAAAUCAGCCAGGGCUGCUGUUUGAUCCCACUCCAAAAUUGCAGCAAAUACCAAACCAUCUCUUUCAUCAUCCACAAGGGCUUCAACCAGUUUGUACUUAAAAGAUGUCCACUACUGUGGUGCAAGGGCAGUUUCUGUGAGGGCAUUUAUUUUCUCAAGGUUGCUCUUCAAUUGAGGGAGGCUUUCGUAAUAACUUUUAACAAGGGAUGCAUUGAGACCGAUGACAAGUAGAAGCAUGACAUCAUAUCCUCAUCCUACUCCAGCAACUUUUUUCAUGGGUUCGGAUGUCUUCAACAAGGAUUUUGGGUAAAACACCAUAUCCCACGGCUAUGAAUCAAUCUCAAUAAAUGAAUGAUGAUGAGAGGAGUUAUCAUCCUUAAGUACCAUCGACGAAUGAAAAGAAAGUAAGUGAAAGUUCUCAGAAUAUUCUAUAGAUUCCAUAUUUUGAUUUGAUUUUUGAAAUUCAAACAUUGUUCUUGGGGAUUAAGGCAAUUGAAGCCACAUAUUGUACUAGCUUUAGUAUGAAUUCAGAUAGGAAUUGGAGAUGAAUGAAUUGACGAACUUUUAGAACCUUCAUCGAAGCUGCUGGGGUCGAAGUCGGGUCAAAAUUAUCGUGGGAUGGAGCAGCUGGAUUCAUGUUUUGGUCGGGUAAAAAUUAUCGCGGCUUCAUUUGUGUACGUGUAUAGUUGUUGUUGCUAAACGUUGAACGUUGUUCUCGUCUGUUUGUACAUUUUGUCGGUUGUUUUGUUGUUUGUUUGGAGAAGGAGAAGAGUAAUAGAAGUGUGGGACGGGUCAGGAUUGUGGUUGUUAUGCCUGGAGUGGGUUAAUAAUUGGUAUAAAUAACAUAAAUACCAACCUUUUGGAAGCAAUGAUACUCUCUCCCAUUUUUUUAAUUAUUUUACUCUCUCCCUAUUACAUAUAUAUUGCAUUCUGUAUAUAUGUUGGGAUUUUUGUAAUAUGUUAGGGAAUUGAGAUUUUUUGUAAUAUUAAAAAUAUAAAUUGUG